rnacentral:rRNA from 1 species
UACGUAGGCAGCAAGCGUUGUUCGGAGUUACUGGGCGUAAAGGGUGCGUAGGCGGUCCUAUAAGUAUGGUGUGAAAUCUCCCGGCUUAACUGGGAGGGUGCGCUAUAGACUGUGGGACUAGAGUGUGGGAGAGGAAAGUGGAAUUCCUGGUGUAGCGGUGAAAUGCGUAGAUAUCAGGAGGAACACCGGUGGUGUAAACGGCUUUCUGGACCAUAACUGACGCUGAGGAGCGAAAGCGUGGGGAGCGAACAGG